GGGCUUGACAUCCCACGAACCUGCCCGAAAGGGUAGGGUGCCCGCAAGGGAGCGUGGAGACAGGUGGUGCAUGGCUGUCGUCAGCUCGUGUCGUGAGAUGUUGGGUUAAGUCCCGCAACGAGCGCAACCCUCACCCCUUGUUGCCACCGGGUUAUGCCGAGCACUCUAGGGGAACUGCCAGCGUCAAGCUGGAGGAAGGCGGGGAUGACGUCAAGUCAUCAUGCCCCUUACGCCCUGGGCGACACACGUGCUACAGUGGCUGGUACAAAGGGAUGCAAGACCGCGAGGUGGAGCUAAUCCCAAAAAACCGGUCUAAGUUCAGAUUGCAGUCUGCAACUCGACUGCAUGAAGGAGGAAUCGCUAGUCAUCGCGCAUCAGCACGGGGCGGUGAAUACGUUCCCGGGCCUUGUACACACCGCCCGCCACACCACGAAAGCCGGCUGUACUCGAAGUCGCUGAGA
rnacentral:rRNA from 1 species